AUUGGUAAGUACUAUUUGGACACAAUUUUUUCUCUAAACUAAAGGCACUAAGGAAUGCAUGCCUUUCAAUUAAACACAACCCCUGAGUAACCUUUAUUUCUAACAAAAGCUUGCUGUGAAAAUAACUGUAAAUUGCUUUCAUUCUGGAUUAAUCAUAAUCAAACUUAAUCAUCAUAUAGCACCUGUUGAGGAUAAUUGUAAAAUUCUCUUUUACUCCUUUUCUAUAAGGUAAAUCAUACCUGAUUAGUGCCCGUUUGGAUCGACUUAUUUUAGGUGCUUUAAGCCAAAAUAGCUUUUAUUUUGGAGAAGAAAAAGAUAUGUUAGUUCUUGGAUGAUCUGCAUAAUAUCCUUAUCUGUGAGGGAAAGAACUAAAAGAAAAUUAUCAUACACAGCUUUGAAGAUGUAGGAAGUUUAUGAACAAGAAGCUCCAGAUUUUCUCAAGUAUCCAACGCCACACGCGUUAGAGUCUGUUCCACUACACCUAUUUGAAAUGGCCCCACAGGAGCACUCAACAUUGAUUUUCAACUGUCCAUCACAAUUGGUAGCCUAUUUCUUUGCUAAGAUUCAUGGGGUAUGCUGAGGAGGUACCGGCAUUGAUCAUCACAGUAGGAACAUUGUUCCUCCCCAAAUUCCAUGAUUGAACGUGACAACUAUGACGAAGCCAAAGCUAAGCUUAAAGAGAAUUAGGGGAAUUGAAGAUGUAGAUGAAGAGUUCAAUGAUUUAGUUGUGGCAAGUGAGGCCUCUAGGAAAAUUGAACGCCCUUAGCUUGGAGGAAUUUGUUGCAAGAGAAAUAUAGGCCACAUCUCACAAUGGCAAAUUAUGAUCCCAUUUUUCCAGCAACUUACUGGAAUCAAUAUGAUUUUGUACCAGUGUUGUUUAAGACUAUUGGUUUUGGUGUUGAUGCUUCACUUUUCUGCUAUGAUCACCGGUGGAGUCAAUAUCAUUGCUGUGGUUUCUAUUUACUAUAUGUUUAUAAAUUGGCAAGGAGAUUCUUCAAGGGCCAGUUCAUAUAUAUGCUCCUUUGCCAAGUCUGGAGACAUGUACUUGUUACUUCUCUAGAAAUUAGUUGAUAUAUAACAAAGGUCAGAGGUGAGACUUGUUUAUUCAUACACCAUCAAAUUAUGUCCAUUAGUUGAUCUAUAAGAAAGGUCAGAGGUGAGACUUGCUUAUUCAUACAUCAUUAAAUUGUGUCCAUGUUUGAAAUAUCUAAAAUGAGAUUUCAAUAUCUUUAAGGUAGUUUGCAAUAGCCUAAAAAUCGAUUCACCUUUUGAAGAAAAAGAAACAUCAGUUCUUAUAACUCUAUUUUCUUUAUAUUUUGUACUUUCAAUAAGUUUUAAAGAGUUGAUUCACAUUCAUAGAUGCAACAUGAAAUGGAGCUUAAUCAUACAUAAAGCUUAAACUUGACAUUUUCUUUCUAAUUCUUGGAUUAUAGAGAAACUGAAAAGUUUAUACUGCAAGCUUUGAGCAUUUUUUGAGUUGUCAAUGGUCAGUUUUUAUAUACCUCACUUUCUACAGUUGGAUCACUUUUUUUGGUUGGUAAUUUGAAUAAACAUUUGGAGUUCUUAUUGGUUUUUUUACAUUGUUUAGAAGUGUGUAUUGUGAUUGGUAAGAUACUUGGUCUUUUUUCUCCAUCGUUGAAAAAAUAAUAUUGUGUGAGUUACAAUACUUCUAUAAUAGCUAAACAUCUAUUUAAAUAAAUUUUGGUUGAUUGAUAUUUACUUGCCUUUUGUAGGUAUUCAUGUUAAACUUCUCCAUAUGGUGGUUUUUGGAUGAAAAAAGGUUGUAUGACUCAUCAUAAGAAAUGAUGAAUUCAAAUGUGCUUAUGCACAGAUGGUAGAUAAAAGAAUUAUAUAUGCAUAGCAUGACAAUGUACAUAAGUGUUUUUGCUAUGAUUAUUUAUUUCACACAUGUAAAUAGAAAUGUCAUGUUCUACUGUA